rnacentral:lncRNA from 1 species
UCUCAUAUCUGUCCGUUUCCACUUCGCUGCUCUCCACCGGUCUCGGCGUGGUCUGUGGAUUCCGGAGAGCAAGGCAUGCGUCGGCUUCGUGCCGCAGGUUCCUGGCCCACGCCAGCCGGACCCAGUAGCAUAAUGGGUGAUCUCUAGAGACUGCGCAGGGGCCCCGUCCCCUCACCUAGAUGUCGGCUAACCUUGGGAUCCAGACAAAGGUGGAAUCCUAGAAGUGACCUGGAUGGCCUAAUGAUCUCACGUCUGAGAGCCAGCCCUGAAAAGGGCUUUGCUCCUACUCACACUGGCAAGUUGGAUGCCUUUUUACUGCAUUGCUGUCAGCUAUCUGAACAUGAGUGGCUGUAGGGUGUAAGCUAUGCAUGCUGGCUGCCCUACGCCCGCCCAGACUGAACCAGGACCUCACUUGAACAUGAGUAUUAGACAAUGUAAAAACUUACCUUGCCCAGACUUGAUAUAACAGCUUGGAAAUGCAUAGUUUCGUGAAAGAGCCUAAUAAAAUACUUUUUAAAGUA